CCUACGGGAGGCAGCAGUAGGGAAUCUUCCACAAUGGGCGAAAGCCUGAUGCAGCAACGCCGCGUGGGUGAAGAAGGUCUUCGGAUCGUAAAACCCUGUUGUUAGAGAAGAAAGUGCGUGAGAGUAACUGUUAACGUUUCGACGGUAUCAAACCAGAAAGCCACGGCCAACUACGUGCCAGCAGCCGCGGUAAUACGUAGGUGGCAAGCGUUAUCCGGAUUUAUUGGGUGUAAAGGGAACGCAGGCGGUCUGUGAAGUCUGAUGUGAAAGCUGUCGGCUUAAACGGAGUAUUGCAGUUGAAACUGGUAGACUUGAGUGCAGGAGAGGAGAGUGGAACUCGAUGUGUAGCGGUGAAAUGCGUAGAUAUAAGGAAGAACACCAGUUGCGAAGGCGGCUCUCUGGUCUGUAACUGACGCUGAGGUUCGAAAGCGUGGGUAGCAAACAGGAUUAGAUACCCGAGUAGUC
rnacentral:rRNA from 1 species